CGGCGGACGGCUGAGUAACACGUAGGAACGUACCCCAAACUGAGGGAUAAGCACCAGAAAUGGUGUCUAAUACCGCAUGUGCUCUAAGGAGUAAAGCUUCGGCGGUUUGGGAACGGCCUGCGCAUGAUUAGCUUGUUGGUGAGGUAAAAGCUCACCAAGGCGACGAUCAUUAGCUGGUCUGAGAGGAUGACCAGCCAGACUGGGACUGAGAACGGCCCAG
rnacentral:rRNA from 1 species